CCUACGGGAGGCAGCAGUGGGGAAUAUUGGGCAAUGGGCGCAAGCCUGAACCAGCAACGCCGCGUGAAGGAAGAAGGCUUUCGGAUUGUAAAAUUCUUUUUUCAGGGACGAAGAACGUGACGCUACCUGAGGGCUAAGACAAGGCUAACUACGUGGCAGGAGCAGCGGUAAUACGUAGGUGGCAAGCGUUAUCCGGAUUUACUGGGUGUCAAGGGCGUGUAGGCGGGACUGCAAGUCAGAUGUGAAAACUACGGGCUCAACCUGUGGCCUGCAUUUGAAACUGUAGUUCUUGAGGACAGGAGAGGCAGGCGGAAUUCCUAGUGUAGCGGUGAAAUGCGUAGAUAUUAGGAGGAACACCAGUUGCGAAGGCAGUCUGCUGGACAGCAACUGACGCUGAGGCGCGAAAGCGUGGGGAGCAAACAGGAUUAGAUACCCCAGUAGUC
rnacentral:rRNA from 1 species